rnacentral:lncRNA from 1 species
CCCAGAAGUAGCUGCAUUUCCUUGCUGGGUGAUCCAUAUUCACACAGCAAUAUGCUUUCACUGUUUCCAGCCAGGCUGAUGCUACUGCUUCUCACAUCAGCUUUCAGUCCCAGUCGCCUGCUCUGGAUUCAUCCCCCUCCCACCUACUUUCACUGUAACAAGCUGGUGCAUGCCCCUCCAACCGCCUGAACAAAACCAUGACAUCAGCACUUACUUAAUUCCUCCCAGAUGAGGAAUCGAGUCCCCUUCUGGUUCCAGUCGUCCGUCUCAGACUGGAAGAGUAGCCCAGGCCAAGCCUCCUGAGCCGGCAGGCAGGGGGAAUACCCACAGCCCACACAGACACAGUAGCCGCUGGCCUUGUCCCCGGAGAGCUGCUGUCUGUCUAACCUCGUCGUCUCCUACCACAACUGGGACAAGAGCACAAGUGCAAAAGUGCUCCCAUCGGGCUUGGUUAUACGGAAUUCCAGCCUUAUCCAAGUCUUCUCAGGGGAAAUCCACCAAGAGGGCAUUUGUCCCCACCCAUAACCACUGUGCCUUUUACCCAGUGCAAUUGCCUCACGUCUCUGCCAGUGAUGCUCAUGACAAUUGGUACUUUGCCCUAUUGUCUUUCCAGGGGUGCUGGAACAAUUUUUACAGUGGAUGUGUUGAAAUCAGAAACCAGGUAUUUUGUUAUUACUCCUUCAAGCAAGGGGGUGCUAUCCCUACUUCCAGCACCCCUGUGUCUUGCAUCUUUCAUCUGAGGAUCUCAAAGUGAGACACACACACAACUUUAACUGGUGCCUCGUAUCCAAUCUUGUAGUUUCAGCCUCUGUUUGUGGGAAGGAAUUUGGAAGAUAGAGGAAAUCAAGCUCCUUUACACUGGGGUCAGUCAGGAGCGGCUUUAUGACAUUUCACCAGCAUAAAAUCAACCUGCUCUAAGUGGAAGCAACAUCGGCAUCAGAUGCAUGCAUGUUGCUCACCUGUCUAUUUAGAAAACAUCACUGGACAUUGGCAAUACCAGGAGAGAGGAGCUGGAGUGCCUUUGAGAAGCGACGUCUGGAAAGUAACUGAAAUACUUAUCUGAUAGGUUGUCCCUCAGUAAAUACAAUCCAUCCUAAAUUCUCAAUUACUGACGGACAAUCUACACUCAUUGCUAUAUUUGCUUUCCACAAGCUACUCUUGGUAUAACCUUUUAUGAGUGAUGUAUCUGGAUGUUAAUAUCUAAACUGUUUUGUUAAAUUUAUUAACCUU